rnacentral:rRNA from 1 species
GGGUGCUCGAGUGGCGAACGGGUGAGUAACACGUGAGUAGCCUGCCCUUGACUUUGGGAUAACUUCAGGAAACUGGGGCUAAUACCGGAUAGGAGCUCCUGCUGCAUGGUGGGGGUUGGAAAGUUUCGGCGGUUGGGGACGGACUCGCGGCUUAUCAGCUUGUUGGUGGGGUAGUGGCUUACCAAGGCUUUGACGGGUAGCCGGCCUGAGAGGGUGACCGGCCACAUUGGGACUGAGAUACGGCCCAG